UAGGGAAUCUUCCGCAAUGGGCGAAAGCCUGACGGAGCAACGCCGCGUGAGUGAUGAAGGUCUUCGGAUUGUAAAACUCUGUUAUUAGGGAAGAACAAACGUGUAAGUAACUGUGCACGUCUUGACGGUACCUAAUCAGAAAGCCACGGCUAACUACGUGCCAGCAGCCGCGGUAAUACGUAGGUGGCAAGCGUUAUCCGGAAUUAUUGGGCGUAAAGCGCGCGUAGGCGGUUUUUUAAGUCUGAUGUGAAAGCCCACGGCUCAACCGUGGAGGGUCAUUGGAAACUGGAAAACUUGAGUGCAGAAGAGGAAAGUGGAAUUCCAUGUGUAGCGUUGAAAUGCGCAGAGAUAUGGAGGAACACCAGUGGCGAAGGCGACUUUCUGGUCUGUAACUGACGCUGAUGUGCGAAAGCGUGGGGAUCAAACA
rnacentral:rRNA from 1 species